rnacentral:lncRNA from 1 species
AACAUCAUUACAAAUUAAUUUGCUUUCUCAGUAGAUCCACUGACACAUUAGGAGAAAAUUAUCUGUAUCCUGAUUGCAAGGCAACUUAGUUUCUCAUGAUCUUCUCCCAAACAAGAUGAAUUAAUUGAGUGAAUCUCCACUUAAAGAUAAUUGGCAAGUUGAUGCACAUUAUUUUAGUCAGGUGAUAUGUAUUAUGACUAUCAACCCAGGAAAUAUUAACAUAUAAACAUUAACAGGAUAAUUGUUUGUUUGGGGGAGGUUUUCCUGUGCAUUGUUAGGUCUUUAUCAACAUCCCUGGCUUGCACCCAGUAAAUGCCAGUAGCAUUUCCCAUCCCAGCCAUGAAAAUGAAAACUGUGUCCAGAGAUUACAAAUGUCUCUUAAGGGGCAAAAUCCAUCCCUGGUCCCCAGUUAAGGAGCAUUGUUUAGUGGGAGGUCUCUUGAGUCAUCCCUAAUAUCUUUCCUAGAGAAGAAAUUUUCACUAAAUGUAUCUAAAAUUGGCCAAUGAUUCUGUGUGAAAGGACAUCGUGAGAGAACCAAUUGUGAGCCACGCCCAAUUUCUCAUGGAUAGUUAUAAAGUUCUACAUUUAAUUUCAAAUAAUACAUUUCAUAGGUAUAAGUUAAAGGAGACCUAUCUUGGAAAAAAAAUCUGAUGAUUUUAAUUGAUCAUAAAUUCAAUAUAAUCCAAAAACAUAUUAUCAUUUUUUUUUAAAUAAUGCAACCUUGAAUAUCACUAUUACAAUAAAGUUCAAAUCAGGGAAGCUGAUACAUCCAUUGUAAUUUGGCCUUAUAAAUACUGUGGUUACUUCUAUAUCACAUUUUGAGAAGAACAGUGGUUUAAGAGAAGGGAAUUAAGAUUAUGAGAAUUUUAGCAUCCAGAUAAUUUGAGUAAUAAUUAAGGGAAACCAAAAUGUUAAGAAUGAAGAAGAAAAAACCCAGGCAAGGGUAGAGAGAAGUAAUAAUAUUGGAAAGGCUGUUAUGUGGAAAAUGCACAAAGGAAAUUAGAACCAACAAAUGGGAGCUAUAGGAAUCUAGAAAUAAGAAAUCACAACUACCCUGCAAUGAAAUAGACGACCUCACAAAAGAAGCAACCACUUCUUUAGUCAUGGUUAGAUAAUACUUUGGGAUGUAUAAAAAUGCCACCUAUAUUAGCACUAUUAAACUAUCAAAAUAUUAAUUUUGAACAUAUAAUUUUAUGUGAAUCCUACUCUCUUUGUAGCUGCCCAGAACAUCUCCAUGUAAUACUGUUAAGGAGGUAAACUUUACUUUUUUAUCUUCUAGUAAAGUAUAGAAUUCUAACUAUGUAAAGCAUUUAAACACAUUAUAUUUGAAAACUCACAAACUAAAAGUUGCUUUAUCACACUUAUGAUUUUUUUUUAAAGAUUUUAUUUAUUUUGAGAGGAAGGGAGAGUGCACACAUGUGCAUGAGUGAGGAGAGGGGCAGAGGGGGAGAGAAUCUCAAGCAGUCUCCACACCCAGAGGGGAACCCGAUGCAGGGCUUGCUCUCAGGACUCUGAGAUCAUGCCCUGAGCUGAAAUCCAGAGUUGGGUGCUUCACCAACUGAGCCACCCAUGUGCACCUCAUUAUUUUACUUAUCUGAAUAAGCUUGAUAUGGUGGAAUGAUUUUCAAACCAGACUUCAGGUUCCAAACAUCUUGCUCUAAAUUCUGUGCUUAUGACAGAUCAUUACUAGUUUCUAUAACUGUAAAAACUCAUUGUUGUAAGCAGUAAAUAUCAGAAGUAUUCAACAAAACUUAUUUGUGCAUUUAUUUAUGUAUUUAAAAGACCCCAUUUAUUUAUUGCUAUUUUUACUGAAGGAUCAAUAAUGUGGCUCCAUAUUCUGUUUCUUCAGGUAGUUUUUUUUGCACUCUUAAAUGAGGUUGAAAAAAAAAAUUAAAAAAAAAAUAAAUGAGGUUGGUACAUUAGAAACCAUCACCAUUUCUUUCACAGAACUGGAAUUCAGGUAAGGAACAUUGGAUGCUACCACUUGAAUACCCAUGUUCCUUACCCAGAAUUGCUGUCUUGUUUGGGAGAACAGCACUCAGUAAUUGGUCUAGAAUCACUCA